rnacentral:rRNA from 1 species
UACGAAGGGGGCUAGCGUUGCUCGGAAUCACUGGGCGUAAAGCGCACGUAGGCGGCUUUUUAAGUCAGAGGUGAAAUCCUGGAGCUCAACUCCAGAACUGCCUUUGAUACUGGAGAGCUGAGUCCGGGAGAGGUGAGUGGAACUGCGAGUGUAGAGGUGAAAUUCGUAGAUAUUCGCAAGAACACCAGUGGCGAAGGCGGCUCACUGGCCCGGUACUGACGCUGAGGUGCGAAAGCGUGGGGAG